GGGGUUGUGGCUCAGUGGUAAAGCACUUACCUAGUAUGCAUGAGGCACUGGGUUCAAUCCCCAGCACCA
rnacentral:tRNA from 1 species